GCGGGGAUGACCGCCGGCUUCGUUGGAAGCGGGAGGAAAGUCCGGGCGCCACAGGGCAGGGUGCAGGCUAACGGCCUGUCAGGGUAACCUGAAGGAAAGUGCCACAGAGAAUAGACCGCUUCGACUUCGGUCGGAGUAAGGGUGAAACGGUGCGGUCAGAGCGCACCGCGCUCCGGGAGAUCGGAGCGGCACGGUAAACCCCACUCGGCGCAAGGAAGGAUCGACGGCGAAGGCGGCCCGCCUCAUCGGUCCGAUAGAACCGCUGGCGUCUGUAGGUAACUACAGUCCUGGAUGAAUGGUCAUCAAAACAGAACCCGGCUUAUACCGCGAC
rnacentral:RNase_P_RNA from 1 species